rnacentral:rRNA from 1 species
GAUGAACGCUGGCGGCGUGCCUAACACAUGCAAGUCGAGCGAUUUACUUCGGUAAAGAGCGGCGGACGGGUGAGUAACGCGUGGGUAACCUGCCCUGUACACACGGAUAACAUACCGAAAGGUAUGCUAAUACGAGAUAAUAUACUUUUAUCGCAUGGUAGAAGUAUCAAAGCUCCGGCGGUACAGGAUGGACCCGCGUCUGAUUAGCUAGUUGGUAAGGUAACGGCUUACCAAGGCGACGAUCAGUAGCCGACCUGAGAGGGUGAUCGGCCACAUUGGAACUGAGACACGGUCCAAACUCCUACGGGAGGCAGCAGUGGGGAAUAUUGCACAAUGGGCGAAAGCCUGAUGCAGCAACGCCGCGUGAGCGAUGAAGGCCUUCGGGUCGUAAAGCUCUGUCCUCAAGGAAGAUAAUGACGGUACUUGAGGAG